CUUGGUCAUUUAGAGGAAGUAAAAGUCGUAACAAGGUUUCCGUAGGUGAACCUGCGGAAGGAUCAUUAUCGAGUUUUGAACGCGGGUUGUAGCUGGCCUCUCACGAGGCAUGUGCACGCCUGGCUCAUCCACUCUUAACCUCUGUGCACUUUAUGUAAGAGAAAAAAAUGGUGGAAGCUUCCAGGAUCUCGCGAGAGGUCUUCGGUUGAACAAGCCGUUUUUCUUUCUUAUGUUUUACUACAAACGCUUCAGUUAUAGAAUGUCAACUGUGUAUAACACAUUUAUAUACAACUUUCAGCAACGGAUCUCUUGGCUCUCGCAUCGAUGAAGAACGCAGCGAAAUGCGAUAAGUAAUGUGAAUUGCAGAAUUCAGUGAAUCAUCGAAUCUUUGAACGCACCUUGCACUCCUUGGUAUUCCGAGGAGUAUGCCUGUUUGAGUCUCAUGGUAUUCUCAACCCCUAAAUUUUUGUAAUGAAGGUUUAGCGGGCUUGGACUUGGAGGUUGUGUCGGCCCUGCCGGUCGACUCCUCUGAAAUGCAUUAGCGUGAAUCUUACGGAUCGCCUUCAGUGUGAUAAUUAUCUGCGCUGUGGUGUUGAAGUAUUUAUGGUGUUCAUGCUUCGAACCGUCUCCUUGCCGAGACAAUCAUUUGACAAUCUGAGCUCAAAUCAGGUAGGACUACCCGCUGAACUUAAGCAUAUCAAUAAGCGGAGGAAAAGAAACUAACAAGGAUUCCCCUAGUAAACUGCGAGUGAAGCGGGAAAAGCUCAAAUUUAAAAUCUGGCGGCUUUGGUCUCCGAGUGAUCAGAGA
rnacentral:rRNA from 1 species